UUUUUUAGAUGCUAGCUAUAUUUUUUACGAAUAGUUACUUUUUUCCAAAACAGGUAAUCUGUUUCUAAACAGAAUCACUCAUAUUACAAACAUUAAUAAUAAAGAAGUUCGUGCUGUCUUUUUGAUAAUCUGAAUUGUUAAAAAAUUGUUUUAAAAUGCAACCUAAGGCGUCCAUAAAUCAAGAUUGAAACAACACAUAGAUAGAAUGUUUAAACGUGCUGACGAUAGCAUGGAAAACAUUUUGAUCAGCUUGUUGAUUUUGUCUAUUCUUUUGUGUACAGCAAAUAGUUUAAAAUGCAACGAGAUGACUCAAGCUCAUAAUCAGACAACACAGGUGUUUUGCUUCAUCUCUGUCAAUGACAGUAACAGCACUUGGUCAUUCGAUCACCACACACCAAGAGGUCUUUGGUUGUACUCACAGCUCUUCGUGUGACAAAUGGUGUCAACUUCUUGAAGAGAACAUACCAGUCUACUAAAUGUUGUGAAACUGACAUGUGCAACAAAGAUGUUCCCACCAGCAGUAAAGUAACGUAUGAAAUAUUCGCCACCGUCUUGGUCACACUUGCCUCGGUUUUGUUUAAAAAUAUUUACUAAACUGACAUUUCUUUGUAUUUAGAAGGUUUUUGAUUGCGAUUAUCUGUUCUUUUUAUGUUAACACUUAGCGCAAGAUAUAUAUUUGAUUCA